AAUUUUCGGCAAUGGGGGCAACCCUGACCGAGCGACGCCGCGUGAGUGAAGAAGGUCUUAGGUUUGUAAAGCUCUGUUGUAAGGGAAGAACCGUACCAGUAGGGAAUGACUGGUACCUGACGGUACCUUACCAGCAAGCCACGGCUACCUACGUGCCAGAAGCCGCGGUAAUACGUAGGUGGCAAGCGUUAUCCGGAAUUAGUGGGCGUAAAGGGAGCGCAGGCGGCGUAUUAAGUCUGAGGUUAAAGUUCGGGGCUCAACCCCGUGAUGCCUUAGAAACUGGUAGGCUAGAGUGCAGGAGAGGGAAGUGGAAUUCCAUGUGUAGCGGUAAAAUGCGUAGAUAUAUGGAGGAACACCAGUGGCGAAGGCGGCUCACUGGCCUGUAACUGACGCUGAGGCUCGAAAGCGUGGGGAGCAAAUA
rnacentral:rRNA from 1 species